AGUCUCGUCGCUCGCAUCGACCAAACUAACGAGCACCAUUUUAAACUGAUGACUGUUUGUUUAAAUUCUGUUUUACAUGACUUGGACGGCAAAGCUUCGAGAGUUGCCAAAGUUGGAUUUACUUUUUUUGCCACUUCGGGCAAUCCCAGCGGUGGUAUUUAGAUCAAUUGUGUGUUUAUUCUAAAACAAAUUAGCCGAUUAUAUUUUGUCUGCAUUACUAUUUUGUCGGUUUUAUUUACAGAUCCCGCGAACAUGGAGAGUCUGUAAAUAAAAUAAGCCCGCAAGGUAUCGACUUAUCGAGGACCCAGUUUUGCUUCAAAUGAGUGAAAAAGUUUGGGAGAAGACACAAGAGAGAGAAAGCCGUGGCAGCAUUCAGUCCUGAGCCAGACAUGGCUCACAUGUGGCCCCAAAGGCAGCAGACAGUGUAUUGAAUUACUGUAACUCAAGGUGUAAUGUGGUAGCAGUGGGGGAUAUGUAAAAACUACACAAACGGAUGUAGCACAGGCUUACUUCAGCUUCGCGUUACAGCUAUUCAGAUGGUUUUAUUUGCUUAAACUUAAUAUCUAACCGUGCAUUAGUCUAAAUGGAAGCCACACUUUUCGUCGUGGCACUCAGCUGCCAAUAGAUCACAUUAAACUGCUAUUGUUUCAACAACAUUGUGUCACCAGGUUUAUGUGUUCAUUCAGUUUAAAUGAUUCUCUUUGUAGCACCAGGGCUCAUAAAUGCAUGCUGGUAAAUAUGAAUAAUAGCUGUAUUUCUUACUUUUUGGAGAUUUUUGGAAAGUCUUGAUGUGCUCGCGUACACUCAUGAGAUGUCCGCUCCAGUGUUAGUUUGUAUUGUUGCUUCAGUAGCUGCUUAAGUCGCCCAUGUGUAUGAUUCUAACUUGCAGUGUGCCACAUCUAUGACAAAUAAAGUUUUAAGAUAA